rnacentral:rRNA from 1 species
AGCUCCAAUAGCGUAUACUAAAGUUGUUGCAGUUAAAAAGCUCGUAGUUGCAUUUCCGAGGCAAGGGAUUAGUCCGACCUUUGGUGGGUAUUUAAUCCUCUUGCCUCGUCCUUGAGUGGUGCUUCUUGGUAUUAAGUUAUCGAGGAGAUAGCCGCUCAUCGUUUACUGUGAGAAAAUUAGAGUGUUCAAAGCAGGCUUAUGCCGUUGAAUAUAUUAGCAUGGAAUAAUAAGAUAGGACCUCGGUACUAUUUUGUUGGUUUGAGAACCAAGGUAAUGAUGAAUAGGGACAGUUGGGGGUAUUCGUAUUCAGUUGUCAGAGGUGAAAUUCUUAGAUUUACGGAAGACGAACUACUGCGAAAGCAUUUACCAAGGAUGUUUUCA